rnacentral:rRNA from 1 species
UGGUGCAUGGUUGUCGUCAGCUCGUGUCGUGAGAUGUUGGGUUAAGUCCCGCAACGAGCGCAACCCUUGAUCUUAGUUGCCAGCAUUCAGUUGGGCACUCUAAGGUGACUGCCGGUGACAAACCGGAGGAAGGUGGGGAUGACGUCAAAUCAUCAUGCCCCUUAUGACCUGGGCUACACACGUGCUACAAUGGAUGGUACAAAGGGCAGCGAAGCCGCGAGGUGGAGCGAAUCCCAUAAAACCAUUCUCAGUUCGGAUUGUAGGCUGCAACUCGCCUACAUGAAGCCGGAAUCGCUAGUAAUCGCGGAUCAGCAUGCCGCGGUGAAUACGUUCCCGGGCCUUGUACACACCGCCCGUCACACCACGAGAGUUUGUAACACCCGAAGUCGGUGAGGUAACUGGUGGUUUCACUGAGUAUCUGAUAAAAGUAGUCGGAAAUUCAGUGAAACCACUAGAGCCAGCCGCCUAAGGUGGGACAGAUGAUUGGGGUGAAGUCGUAACAAGGUAGCCGUAUCGGAAGGUGCGGCUGGAUC